AGUCCGCAGAGGCAGUGGAAAAGUUGCAGUGGGUCGUAGCAGGUGUAAAUGGAUCUGAGGUCUACGGGCUCUGAAAUGGAAGCCAGUAGCAGCUGGAAGGCCUUAUGACUCACAAGGUCAGAAGGUCAAUGCAGCAGCAGGCAGCAGACUGCAUUUACCAGCGCAGAGACGCAGGGUGUGAGAAGAGCCUGAAACUCUGUCAUCAGAAACUCAGAUUGGGGUCAGGCAGGCGUCUCUGGGCUUUCCUGUCUAUAAGCACAGGCCGCCAGGCGGAUGACAUGGCCUGUUAUUCCACGUGUAAGGAAUUGGCAAAUUACACACUGAGGAGAUGAAAGGAACACUGAAUUCCUGCCAGUACGUUCUUAGUCCGCAGCUGCGAAAGCCAAGUGCUGGUGUCACCAAUCAGGGUGUUGUUCACCUCUCCCAAGGGCGUUCGCUGUGGAUUUAGAUGUCAGUGUCAUGAACAACAACGCAAUAGGGUGUCCAAAGAGUCAUACAACCUAACGAGAAUGGCAGCGAUGCGACACCCAAUCUGUUCAUCUGAGAAGGGAAGAAGGGAAGGCAAAAGGCGGACUCUAAGGAACUGCGUAGAGGCCAAAACAGAUGGCCUUGUAAGUGUUAAUUUUGAUACCAUGUUUCCAUCACAUUUCCCCUUAGGAUGCAUUAUACAGGCUUUUGUUUGAAGAUAUUUCCUGUGAGGUCCUGUGACCUACACUAGUGCCGUAGAUACAGUUGUAUUAUGUACACCACCAGUCGAGAUUGAACUUUCACACAAUCUUAAAUAU